UAGUUAUUGAUAAUCAAGAUCAUAUGAGAACCAAAGCCUAUAAUAGGAAUUAGGAACUCAUUGUGACUGUUGAUGGUACAUAAUCUAAUGGCUAUCAUCUUGCCCGCCUCAUUAAGGGCAAAAUUGUAAUUACGUGUUUUGAAUGACUACCCUAAUUUUUCGUUUCUUCUAUUUUAAGUUUCUCUCUCUUCAUUCCAUUUUCUCUCUCCUCCUGCAAAUUCUCUCAUGCGAAUGUUGCAAUCACUAAGCUCUUUGCAAGUCCUCUUCUCAAAUUUGUAACUUUUCAUCUAUGAUCAUUAUUCUAUCAAAUUUAUGGGCAGGAGGCUGCUGGGUAAAGAUUUGCCAGGCUUGAGGCCUUGAGCAUAAAAGAAUAGCAGUUGCUAGAAACGCAACUCAAUGAAAUCUUACUGCCCAUAAAAGCUAAGAAGCAAGGUGGAUUUAGUUUUGUGGUACCUUUUGUUUAUUUUUGUCUUCUAUUUGAGGCUACUCGUAUUAUUGUUUGACAAAGCACACAUAUAAAGCACACUCUAUUAUCAUUGUUACAACGUCAACCAACAAUGAGCAGAACAUAUACUCUAUUUAAUUUUUUACUUACUUUUUGUGAUUUUUUAUUUACUUUUGAGCUAUUUAGCUUUACUUUGACUGGACAAACAAAUAAUCGAGAUUGUAAGUUUUGGAUUUCUUUUUGGUGGAAUGGUAUCUUAUGUAUGCAAGUUCUAGCUAUUUGAGCUGUUUGAAAUGAUCUAAACCCCUCGUGAUGAUUGUACUA